ensembl:rRNA 5S_rRNA 5S ribosomal RNA
GCUUACGGCCAUACCACCCUGAGAACGCCCGAUCUCGUCUGAUCUCGAAAGCUAAGCAGGGUCGGGCCUGGUUAGUACUUGGAUGGGAGACCGCCUGGGAAUACCAGGUGCUGUAAGCU